rnacentral:lncRNA from 1 species
UGCGCGAGAUGCAUCCGCGUCAACGUGAAAAUACAAGAUAAGACUUCUCUAUAUCAAAGGGGCCCGCAUUGUGGGUGUAGAUUAAUCUUAGCAAGGAGCGGGACUUGCUGGAGCAGAGAGAUCCAAGCUGUUGGCUUGAGAUCUGCAGAUGGUGCCCUCUUUGAUCCUUUUUCUCUCUAUCAUUUGCAGGUAUUGCUUGUUGUAGUUCAGUAGUGCAUAAAUAACCCCAUGUUAGUUGAAUUAAGGGGAAUGAUCUAUUCGAGGAUUUCAUUGGUGCAUUUUAUUGAAGAGAAUGAUGAUUUCUUAGGCUUCUUGGGAAUCUGGCGAUGAGCGCCGUGCCAUCAGCAUGUGUAGCCGAGGGCGUGACCCCCAUGGUAGCAGAGCUCGGCCGUGGAACAACCCCACGACGACGGCCGAGCCGUGGUCGGCCAGGGAGCGCCCCCCGUGACGGCGGCACUUGGCCGGGGAGCAUCUGCGUGCAACGAUGGCGGGGCAGGCACGCUCGUGCCGCCAGGGGGUGCCUCUCCGCGAUGGUGGCGAGCGAUGGCACAUCCGCGCAUGUCAUGGGCAAGCUCGUGUAGCAGCGGCGCAUCUACGACUAUGACAAUUCCGCGCGGAGACGAGAACCAAGGAGUGAAGGAGGCGAGGAUGACGAUAAUCAACAUGGUCAGUGAGCGCAUGGCCACUUCUAGCAGCGGCUGAUGUU